UGAACUUGCUAUAAACAACCCCAUCAUUUCUAGACUUUCAAAUUUCAUUAUCUUAAGCACAAAUCAACCUCGACGCUGCUCUGGUCUGGCUCUGAUAUUCUGCUCAGAAUUAACAAGGUUUCCAUCCUUACUGCCUCUGAAAAAUCCACAUCUGCUACAGUCUGCUGUGAAUCAGCUGCAUAACUGUGUUCAGUAAAAAAGCCUACGUGUAGACUCUCCUGCCAGCCCUCAGGAUUGCAUAGAUGGCUGCAAGUUUCACAGUGACAGAUAGACACUUCCUAGAAGACAAUGGGAUGGAAGAAGAAACUCUAGAUUACACUGGGAUGACAGUGAUCCGCUAAUAAAAAUGUAAAGGUCAAAAGGCUUGAUCCUUCUCUGGUGUAAACCAGCAUUAUUUCUGCUAUGACACCUGCCUACCCCUGCUGAGGAUCUUGAUUACCAAGUCUUAGUAUGGAGAACACAGAUCAACAGCUAUGAUAUAAGAAAAACACACACAAUAUUACAUGGAAGAUAUUCAAAUGUAUUUUGUCAAAUCCUGAUGGGGUACUUUCUUGCCAAAUGUUUGGAAUUCAUUUUGGAAUGGACAGAAAGUCAAUCGACCUGGCUUACAUCUGUCUCCAAUUGAAUUGCUGUUGAUUGAUACAUGACAUUGCUACAGAGGGGUGAUUUCCCUAUGCUUACAUUUUGAUGGACUGGAACUCAGAACUUGCCUUGUUAAGGUUUCUGCUGUUGCUUCAAGGUUUUAUUAUUAUUGUUAUUAUUAUUACUGGAAGGGCGCAGUGAACGUAAAUUAGCUGCAGUUGAUUGUAGAUCAUUAUUCCUACUUUCAUUAUAAGUAGAUCUGAUUUGUGCAGGGCUUUUUGUCUUGGCCUUCCUGUCAGUAUGUACACUCUCCAACAGCUUGGAAUUCUCUGGACGGAAUAAAAUUGCUGAUUGUAUCA
ensembl:lncRNA